rnacentral:rRNA from 1 species
UCUGUAGGCGGUAGAGUAAGUCAGGUGUGAAAUCCCGAAGCUCAACUUCGGAACUGCACCCGAUACUGCUUUACUUGAGUAUUGGAGGGGCAUCUGGAAUUCUCGGUGUAGCAGUGAAAUGCGUAGAUAUCGAGAGGAACACUAGUGGCGAAGGCGAGAUGCUGGACAAUUACUGACGCUGAGAGACGAAGGCCAGGGUAGCGAAAA